CCCUUAGAUGUUCUGGGCCGCACGCGCGCUACACUGAUGCAUUCAACAAGCCUAGCCUUGACCGAGAGGUCCGGGUAAUCUUUGAAACUGCAUCGUGAUGGGGCUUGAUUAUUGCAAUUAUUAAUCUUCAACGAGGAAUGCCUAGUAAGCGUGAUUCAUCAAAUCGCGUUGAUUACGUCCCUGCCCUUUGUACACACCGCCCGUCGCUCCUACCGAUUGAAUGUGUUGGUGAGGAGCUCGGAUUGGCAGCAGUUGGUGGUUCGCCACCGGCUAUUGCUGAGAAGUCCUCCAAACCGCCCCAUUUAGAGGAAGGAGAAGUCGUAACA
rnacentral:rRNA from 1 species